rnacentral:rRNA from 1 species
UACGGGAGGCAGCAGUGGGGAAUAUUGCACAAUGGGCGCAAGCCUGAUGCAGCCAUGCCGCGUGUAUGAAGAAGGCCUUCGGGUUGUAAAGUACUUUCAGUCGUGAGGAAGGUGUUAAGGUUAAUAACCUUAGCAAUUGACGUUAGCGACAGAAGAAGCACCGGCUAACUCCGUGCCAGCAGCCGCGGUAAUACGGAGGGUGCGAGCGUUAAUCGGAAUUACUGGGCGUAAAGGGCACGCAGGCGGUUAAUUAAGUUGGAUGUGAAAUCCCCGGGCUUAACCUGGGAAUGGCAUUCAAGACUGGUUAGCUAGAGUCUUGUAGGAGGGGGUAGAAUUCCAUGUGUAGCGGUGAAAUGCGUAGAGAUGUGGAGGAAUACCGGUGGCGAAGGCGGCCCCUGGACAAAGACUGACGCUCAUGUGCGAAAGCGUGGGGAGCAAACAGGGAUUAGAUACC